rnacentral:rRNA from 1 species
GGGCACUUCGGUGCUAGUGGCAGACGGGUGAGUAACACGUGGGAACGUACCUUUCGGUUCGGAAUAAUACAGGGAAACUUGUACUAAUACCGGAUACGCCCUUCGGGGGAAAGAUUUAUCGCCGAUUGAUCGGCCCGCGUCUGAUUAGCUAGUUGGUGAGGUAAUGGCUCACCAAGGCGACGAUCAGUAGCUGGUCUGAGAGGAUGAUCAGCCACACUGGGACUGAGACACGGCCCAGACUCCUACGGGAGGCAGCAGUGGGGAAUAUUGGACAAUGGGCGCAAGCCUGAUCCAGCCAUGCCGCGUGUGUGAUGAAGGCCUUAGGGUUGUAAAGCACUUUUGUCCGGGAAGAUAAUGACUGUACCGGAAGAAUAAGCCCCGGCUAACUUCGUGCCAGCAGCCGCGGUAAUACGAAGGGGGCUAGCGUUGCUCGGAAUCACUGGGCGUAAAGGGCGCGUAGGCGGACUCUUAAGUCGGGGGUGAAAGCCCAGGGCUCAACCCUGGAAUUGCCUUCGAUACUGAGAGUCUUGAGUUCGGAAGAGGUUGGUGGAACUGCGAGUGUAGAGGUGAAAUUCGUAGAUAUUCGCAAGAACACC